rnacentral:rRNA from 1 species
AUUGAACGCUGGCGGCAGGCCUAACACAUGCAAGUCGAACGAGUGGCGGACGGGUGAGUAAUGUCUGGGAACCUGCCUGAUGGCGGGGGAUAACUACUCGAAACGGUAGCUAAUACCGCAUACCAUCAGACUUGCCUAGAUGGGAUUAGCUAGUUGGUGGGGUAACGGCUCACCAAGGCGACGAUCCCUAGCUGGUUUGAGAGGAUGACCAGACACACGGGAAAUAGGACACGGACCGUACUCCUACGGGAGGCAGCAGUGGGGAAUAUUGCACAAUGGGGGAAAGCCUGAUGCAGCCGUGCCGGGUGUAUGAAGAAGGCCUUAGGGUUGUAAAGUACUUUGAGCUGAGAGGCGUUACCCGCAGAAUAAGCACCGGGUAACUCCGUGCCAGCAGCCGCGGUAAUAC